rnacentral:rRNA from 1 species
CACGUAGGGACGAGCGUUGUCCGGAUUCAUUGGGCGUAAAGCGCGCGUAGGCGGCUCGGAAGUCGGUCGUGAAAUGCCGGGCUCAACCCGGGACUGCGUCCGAUACUUCCGGGCUGGAGGUAGGUAGGGGAGAUCGGAAUUCCUGGUGUAGCGGUGAAAUGCGCAGAUAUCAGGAGGAACACCGGUGGCGAAGGCGGAUCUCUGGGCCUUACCUGACGCUGAGGCGCGAAAGCUAGGGGAGCGAACAGG